ACUCGCAUAGUCCAGCGGACACGACGCCUUGAGAUCAUUAGGAGCGAGCAAAGUUCAGAUUCCAAGGAGACGGGAGUUCGAUUCUUCCUGUGAGUA